AGGGCAUUUGAAAAAAUAAAAAGAAAAUCUGAAUGGUUCUUUAACAAGUUUAAAGUCGGGCUUGUUCCGGUGGUAGACUCUCAGGAGUUUCAACACUUGGUCAAGGGUUCGAGUACCCAUUCGUGGUGAAAUUCCACUAGCGUGAGUGUGUGGGGGUGUGUGUCCUUGUUGGGAAGGGAUUUAUUCAAAUUGAGAGCUUAAAUAAUGAAGAGACCUUGUUGCCAAGGGAUUUACAUAAAUUAUGAGGUUAAAUAAUGAAGGGACUCUUUUUCUUUUU